rnacentral:tRNA from 1 species
GCCCACAUAGCUUAACACAAAGCAUGGCACUGAAGAUGCCAAGACGGUACACAGAUUACCUGUGGACA